rnacentral:lncRNA from 1 species
UCAACUAGGGACUUGAGGGUAUAAUUUUUCUUUUUUCUUUUGAAAAAAUUUUGAAAUUUUUUUCUGAUUUUUGAUUUUUUCAUCUUUUUCACCCUCUCUUUUUUUUUUAUUGCAUUUGCAAUGCCCCAGUUUGACUGGUUUGCUGAUUCUCAUGAUACAGCUUGAAUGAGCUCCUUUGGUGCUCAAGAAGUCGGGUAAUC